UGAGGAACAUGACCUUCGGCGGGGGAUAGCCGGCCCAACGGCCGGGUAAUACCGCGUACGACCACUUUGGGACAUCCCUCGGUGGUGAAAGCAGCAAUGCGCCGAUGGAGUGCCUCGCGGCCUAUCAGCUAGUUGGUGAGGUAAUGGCUCACCAAGGCGACGACGGGUAGCUGGUCUGAGAGGAUGGCCAGCCACAUUGGGACUGAGACACGGCCAGACUCCGUAGGAGG
rnacentral:rRNA from 1 species